rnacentral:lncRNA from 1 species
CUCUCGCCCGUGACAUUUUCUCCAAAUCGGAAGAAAAUCAAGUGUAUGUCGAGCUUUGCCGCAGGCAGCCCUUGGUCUCCGCUUUCAGAUUCGGGGUCCGGGAGCGGAGCGCCCUGCCCGCGGCGGUGCUAAACUCUGGGGCCAGGGUGUGGCCCUCAGCGAGCGCCCUGGGACUGGCCGCCCCGCCGAAGGAUGCCGAGGAUCGGGCAAGGCCGGCGUCCGGUCUGCGCGGGGCGCGGGUGCUCUCCGAAGGCCGCGAGCCACGGGCCUCGCUGCGGGUUCAAGUGCGUCCGGGUUUGGACGUCGCGGCUCCAGGAGUGUGCUCUCUCUCCUGCCCAUCCCCUCCCCGGAGUUCAGCGCAUCCGGGGCCCCGGGGACCCCUCUUCCCGGCCCUCCUGGCCGCGCUGGCCCGCCCGCAUGGGGCCGAGGUUCCUGGCCGACGCGCGAGGGCGCGGGCGGGUACCGGGUUCCCGUUUUUCCCAGGCCCCGAUCCCCGCCCACGCACGAGGCCCCCGGCCCACGCACGAGGCGCCCACGCCCAUCGUGGAGGCUCCGCCUGGAAAAGAAGUCCGACUUCCUCUCCAAGCUGCUCCGAGGGGAAUGGGGAAUCGGCAGGAAAUGACCCGAACUGCCAGCCUGCGCCUUUGCAGCCGGCCCUCGCUUUGCUGAAGACGAGCAGCUCCCACCAAAGUCUUGCCUCCCCUUACCCCGAAAGCCCCGCUCAGUUCAAUAUUUCAAGUGAAAAUCUGCCUGUUCGAAAAGAAAAUAUUCACAAAUGAGCAGUGUAUUAGAAGACAACUGAAUUGCUUCUAAGAAUGGUGGGGUCUCACUCUGCCAUCACCCAGGCUGGAGUGUGGUGGCACCAUCAUGGCUCACUGCAGCCUUGAACUCCUGAGCUCAAGUCAUCCUCCCACCUCAGCCUUCCGAGUAGCUGGAACUGCAGGUGUGAGCCACCAUGCCUGGCUGAUUUGUCUUUUUAAAUUUUUUAUAGAGACCGAGUCUCAACUAUAUUGUCCAGGCUGGAAAAGAACUUCUUUCCCUCCAAGUGAUAACCUUUUCCAGACAAGUCAGCUUAAAAACUGACCCAAAGGCCCUGAAGUACACAGUUUUCUUGGAGAAAGAAAAAAAUAAGUGAAAAGGACUUGCUGACUUGCUAAUUCAUUUUGGGGCCUGUGGGUAACAUCAGAAUGGCAAAGCACUUGGGGCUUUUUUCUAAUUUGUAUUUUUUUAAUCUUCUGAGAAAUGACUUUUAUAUGCCAAGAUUCAUUCCAUGAUUAGUUUUUAUGACCAAGUUAUGAACGCUUUUGAAUAUGGGGACCUAGAAUAGAAAUGCUAACCUACCUGCAAGGAGAGCUCUGUGAUUGGCAUCCCCAUCAUGCUGUAACUGACACAAAAUAAACUUAGGGUAAUUGCCGCAUAGUGUAACUUUAAUGUGUGAGCAUACUGUAACAUCUGACAAGCUUCUUGAUCUAGAUCAGCAAUGUGUAACCCAUUCAUUGUUGUCACUCUCAACAAGGCCUUAUGGUCAAACAUCAUCACUCUCACUAAAGAGAUAGUUUACUGAAAUAUACUGAGAUUUUGAAACUGGAGUCAAGAGGUAGCACACUGUUUUAUGUUGAUCCAUUUAAUGGUCCUUGACAGCCAAUAAAAAGACACUGGAAGAAUACGUGAAUGCAGUAAUUGUUAAUAGGUCUAUUGAUAAUAUUUUCAACACCAGGUAGGGAGGGAGACAGGGAGGAGGAGGAAAGGAAGGAAGGGAGGAAAGGAGGAAGGGAGGAAGGGAGGGAGGGAGGGAGGAAGGGAGGGAGGGAAUGCUCUGACAUCUUACUCCAGAAAUAGAGCUGUUUUUAUAUAUUUUACUCCAUUAUUUUGGAUAUCAAUACUGACCAUACUGAGGUCUGUGGUCAUUUACACAGUUGGCCAAAUUUCACUGAAGUUUGUUUUUCAGAUUCUACUAGGUGUUUUCAUGUGGCAGUUGCCUAAUUUUUUACUAUAUUUAAGAUUUGUCCUUACGUUUUGGAUAUUCUGCCUUUGUUCUUCACAAAUGCUCAACUGUCAUAGAGGGUCUUCUGAUUUUUUUGGCAUGGGGUCACUCAACUAAAUUAUAGCUAGAUAAUAACUCCAAAGCCUAGUUCUCCUGGCUUUCCCUGCUGACCUACUCAUGUCCAGAUGUUCUCAUUUAUAAAGUGUGAGUCUUUGAAGAGUCAUUCUAAGAUUGCAGACUGCCAGGUUAUAUUCAAUACUCUGGACCUAAAUUAUUUGAUACAUUUUGGAAGAACCUGGUAGGUAGUGAGGAGGUGGGUGGGGUAUGGAGUCUUUGUUAGUCAGGAAAGAACAUUCUACUUGGGUUACUAAGGUAUCAGAUUAUUCAGUAAGGUAGACCAUUAAGAGCUAAGUUGCAUGGUGUGCACCUUAGUGCUUUAGGAAAUCAAAGGAAAGAAAUACCAAUGAGGACAGAAAGAGUUCUCCAGAGGAAGUAGACUGCAACUGUAUUUGUGAAGGAUGAGUGGCUGUGGAUGGAAGAAAAGAACAUUUUCAGUAAGGGGACAUGGUGGGUGAAAUGCUGAGGCAGGGAUGGGCUCAGUGUUCCCAGAGCUGUAAGGACCCCAAGAAAAUUUCACUUGUACUCUAUGUGCUUACUAUUUUUGUCUGUCCAGAGUGAAUCAGUUCUCCUAGAGACAGAUUUGACAGUCUGCACACAUUGAGAUCUGUUUCAUUUUAACUUUUCUUCUUGCUUCUCUCAAAUCUGGCUAAAAUACUAUUCUGGUCAUGUCAUUUUCCUGCUUCAGACCCCUCUAUGGCUCCCUGUUGCUCAGUCUCCUGAAGAUUUCAUGCCAGAUCUUUGCAUCCACCCCGCUCCCCCUGCCACCUUGAGCUUCAUUUAACAUCUGGACCCUUCUCACUUCUUGCGUCCCAGCUCCAGCCACCUGGAACUGGCAACUGCCAUACUCUCUCUUGCCUCUGGCCCCUCACAUAAAGCUCAGGUGUUGGUUUAAACAUCACUUCCACAGGAAGACCGGAUUAGGCUCCACUGCUAUUCCUUCUCACCCCUGCAGUGACCCCUUUCUUUUUUUUUUUUUUUUUUUUGUAUAGACAGCCAUUUUCAAGUUCAAACUCAUGAUCUUGGAGACACUUAGAUUUUCUCACAAAUUAUUUGCACAUUUUUAAUAGACUAUUUUUUAGGUAAUUUUACAUUCACAGCAAAGUUGAGGGGAAGGUACAGAGAUCUCACAUAUGCCCCUGCCACUCCCCAUGUUAUCAACACCCCCCACCAUCAACAUCCCCUACCAGAGUGGUACAUUUAAAACAAUUCAUGGACCUACAUGAACAUAUCAUUAUCACUCAAAGUCCAUAGUUUACAUCAGGAUUCAUUCAUAGUCUAUGGGUUUGGACAAAUGUAUAAUGACAUAUAUCUACCAUUAUUGUAUCAUACACAGUAGUUCCACUGCUUAAAAAAAAAAAACUCCUCUAUGCUCCAUCUAUUCAUCACUCACUGUCCCUAAGCACUGGAAACCACUGGUCUUUUUACUAUCUUCAUGGUUUUGCCUUUUCCAGAAUGUCAUAUAGUUGGAAUUAUUAUAGUAUAUAGCCUUUUUAGAUUGGCUUCAUUCACUUAGUAAAAUGCAUUUAACUUUGUUCCACAUCUUUUCAUGGCUUGAUAGCUAUUUUUAGUACUGAAUAAAUAUUUCAUUGUCUGGAUGUCCUCAAGCUUAUUUAUCCAUUCACAUACUGAAGGACACCAUGGUUGCUUCCAAAUUUCGGGAAUUGUGGAUAAAGCUGCCAUAAACAUCUGUAUGCAGGUUUAUGUGUGGACACAUUUUAAUUACUUAAAUAUCUGCCAUCCUCAUGAGACAUAAACUCCUUGCAAUGAAAAACCAUAUUUGACUUGAUCAGUUGUGACCAGCAGAGAACCUGGACCCUAUUCAUUCAUUCAUUCAUUCAAAAAUUUAUAUUAAAUACUUGUCAUGUGCCCUAAUGCAACAGAGAGCAAAACAAACAAAAAUUCUGUCCUCACAUUCUGCCUGGGAAGAUCAACACUAAAAUGAGCCAAAACUAAAAAAUACAGUAUGUAUAUAUUUAUAGUAUAGCAAUAAAUAUGUGGGAGAAAUAUAAAGCAAGGAAGGAGAACAGAAAGUGCCGGGUGCAAGGCGAACUUUAGACAGAGCGGCCAGGGGAGGCCUCACUAAGAGGAUGACAUUUGAACAAAGACCUGGAGGAAGCAAGGACGAGUCAUGCAGAUAGCUGGAGAGGAGCCAUCAGACUGAAGAAACAGCAAGUGCAAAGUCCCUGUCCUGCCGUGUGCCCUGGCACGUUAAGCAGGUCACUUGGGCUGAAGCAGAAAGAGCAAGGAGAGGGGAGUUAGGAAUUGAAGUCAGAAUCCAGGGCAGGCUCCAUCCUGGCCUCACUGUCCACCUUCCAGCAGAUGUGGAUCAGCAAGCGGGAAUACGAGUCCAGCCCCUCCGCUGUCCGCUGCAAAUGCCUCUAGGCAGACUGUUACUUAGUUGCGUUAUACCCUUUCUUGCCAAAACCUAUCUAUGGGCAAAAAACAAGAUUGGCAAGGCUUUUGUUUUGUUUUGUUUUUGGAUUGACUCAGGAUUUAAAAAAACUAGACCGAUGAAGGUGACAGCAGUCAGUUGGAGUGAGCAUCCCCCAAAGUUCUGCAAUGUGUCUGAGGACUUUGAUUAAUCUUUUUUUAAGUCAUUCCAAAUAUCGUGAGAUGCAUUGUUACAGGAAGACGCUUGCCAUCCCCAAAACCACCCCACUUCUCUCUAAGGAGAAUGGCCCAGUCCUCUCCCGAGUCCCACACAUGGGAGGUGAUAGCAGUGCUUUCAAUGUAAAUAAGGUAAUGUAAUUUUUUUAAUCUUCAAUUUAAUACUUUUUUAUUUUGAAUGAUCAGCCAUCGUGGCCCCCCUUUUUUGUCUCCCAACUUGCGAUGUAUGAAUGCUUUUGGUCUCCCUGGGAGGGGGUGGAGGUGUGGAGGCAGCCAGGGCUUACCUGUACACUGACUUAAGACCAGUUGAAUAAAAGUGCAUACCUUAAAAAAAGAAAAAAAGAAUCAGGGGGAAAGGACAGUGGUCAUCACUUAACCAAGUGGUUGGAGAAAGACUGUUGUUUGCUGCUAUGUAAUAUGUGCACUUCAGACUGGAAGAUCCAAAUAGAUGGAUAGACUAGGUUGUGUCCUUUUCUGCUUUAAAGACUAUUUUAAAUGACAGUUUUAAUGAUUUAAAACAAUAAUGGUAACUCAACAUGGAACAAAGCUCAGCUAUCAAAAGUUCAUUAAGUAAAAGGAUCCCAACACAGUCAAGUCUUACCCAGGGAUCCUAUGCAAGAUGCAGAACAUAUGCACAUCUUUUAUUAUUAUUAUACUUUAAGUUCUAGGAUACAUGUGUAGAACGUGCAGGAUUGUUACAUAGCUGUACACGUGCCAUGAUGGUUUGCUGCACCUACCAACCCAUCAUCUACAUUAGGUAUUUCUCCUAAUGCUAUCCCUCCCCUAGCUCCCCACCCCCCGACAGGCCCCAGUGUGUGAUAUUCCCCUCCAUGUGUCCAUGUGUGCUCACUGUUCAACUCCCACUUAUGAUUGAGAACAUGCGGUGUUUGGUUUUCUGUUCUUGUGUUGGUUUGCUGAGCAUGAUGGUUUCCAGCUUCAUCCAUGUCCCUGCAGAGGACAUGAACUCAUUCUUUUUUAUGGCUGGAUAAUAUUCCAUGGUGUAUAUGUGCCACAUUUUCUUUAUCCAGUCUAUGAUUGAUGAGUAUUUGGGUUGGUUCCAAGUCUUUGCUGUUGUGAACUGUGCUGCAAUAAACAUACACAUGCAUGUGUCUUCAUAGUAGAAUGACUUAUAAUCCUUUGGGUAUAUGCCCAGUAAUGGGAUUGCUGGGUCAAAUGGUAUUUCUGGAUCUAGAUCCUUGAGGAAUUGCCACACUGUCUGCCACAAUGGUUGAACUAAUUUACACUCCCACCAACAGUGUAAAAGUGUUCCUGUUUCUCCACAUCCUCUCCAGCAUUUGUUUUCCUGACUUUUUAAUGAUCCAUUCUAACUGGCAUGAGAUGGUAUCUCAUCGUGGUUUUGAUUUGUAUUUCUCUAAUGAUCAGUGAUGAUGAGCUUUUUUUCAUGUGUUUGUUGGCCGCAUAAAUG